UGGGGUGGAUUAAAGUGAAAUGACACUAAAUAAUCGGUGGCUAAAAACAUAUACUGGCAAGGUUUAUUUUAACAAUUCUGUAUCAACAGGCAUGCUAGCAGUUUGGGAGUUGGGCUAGCAGUUGGGA